GUUCGAUUCUGGCUCAGAUUGAACGCUGGCGGGAUGCUUUACACAUGCAAGUCGAACGGCAGCACGGACUUCGGUCUGGUGGCGAGUGGCGAACGGGUGAGUAAUGUAUCGGAACGUGCCUAGUAGCGGGGGAUAACUACGCGAAGACGUAGCUAUUACCGCAUACGCCCUUCGAGGAAAGCGGGGGACCUUCGGGCCUCGCACUAUUAGAGCGGCCGAUAUCGGAUUGGCUAAUUGGUGGGGUAACGGCUCGCAAGGCGACGAUCCGUAGCUGGUUUGAAGGACGACCAGCCACACUGGGACUGAGACACGGCAGACUCCCCUUACAGAGAGCAGCAGUGGGGAAUUUUGGACAAUGGGGAAACCCUGAUCCAGCCAUCCCGCGUGUGCGAUGAAGGCCUUCGGGUUGUAAAGCACUUUUUUGGCAGGAAAGAAACGGCACGGGAUAAUACCCCGUGCAACUGACGGUACCUGCAGAAUAAGCACCGGCUAACUACGUGCCAGCAGCCGCGGUAAUACGUAGAGGGUGCAAGCGUUAAUCGGAAUUACUGGGCGUAAAGCGUGCGCAGGCGGUUCGGAAAGAAAGAUGUGAAAUCAGAGCUUAACUUUGGAACUGCAUUUUUAACUACCGAGCUAGAGUGUGUCAGAGGAGGUGGAAUUUAACGUGUAGCAGUGAAAUGCGUAGAUAAUAUGAGGAACACCGAUGGCGAAGGCAGCCUCCUGGGAUAACACUGACGCUCAUGCACAGCGUGGGGAGCAAACAGGAUUAGAUACCCUGGUAGUCCACGCCCUAAACGAUGUCAACUAGCUGUUGGGGCCUUCGGGCCUUGGUAGCGCAACUAACGCGUGAAGUUGACCGCCUGGGGAGUACGGUCGCAAGAUUAAAACUCAAAGGAAUUGACGGGGACCCGCACAAGCGGUGGAUGAUGUGGAUUAAUUCGAUGCAACGCAAAAACAACCUACCCUUGACAUGUCUGGAAUCCCGAAGAGAUUUGGGAGUGCUCGCAAGAGAACCGGAACACAGGUGCUGCAUGGCUGUCGUCAGCUCGUGUCGUGAGAUGUUGGGUUAAGUCCCGCAACGAGCGCAGCCCUUGUCAUUAGUUGCUGUACGAAGGCACUCUAAUGAGACUGCCGGUGACAAACCGGAGGAAGGUGGGGAUGACGUCAAGUCCUCAUAACCCUUAUGGGUAGGGCUUCACACGUCAUACAAUGGUCGGGACAGAGGGUCGCCAACCCGCGAGGGGAGCCAAUCCAAGAAACCCGAUCGUAGUCCGGAUCGCAGUCUGCAACUCGACUGCGUAUGAAGUCGGAAUCUAACUAGUAAUCGCGGAUCGGCAUGUCGCGGUGAAUGCGUUCCCGGGUCUUGUACACGCCCGUCACACCAUGGGAGUGGGUUUUACCAGAAGUAGUUAGCCUAACCGUAAGGAGGGCGAUUACCACGGUAGGAUUCAUGACUGGGGUGAAGUCGUAACAAGGUAA
rnacentral:rRNA from 1 species